AUUGAACGCUGGCGGCAGGCCUAACACAUGCAAGUCGAACGAGUGGCGGACGGGUGAGUAAUGUCUGGGAAACUGCCUGAUGGAGGGGGAUAACUACUGGAAACGGUAGCUAAUACCGCAUACCAUCAGAUGUGCCCAGAUGGGAUUAGCUUGUGGGUGGGGUAACGGCUCACCAAGGCGACGAUCCCUAGCUGGUCUGAGAGGAUGACCAGCCAAACUGGAACGGGGACACGGCCCAGACUCCUACGGGAGGCAGCAGUGGGGAAUAUUGGACAAGGGGCGCAAGCCGGAUGCAGCCAGGCCGGGGUUAUGAAGAAGGCCUGCGGUUUGUAAAGUACGUUCAGCGGGGAGGCGUUACCCGCAGAAGAAGCACCGGCUAACUCCGUGCCAGCAGCCGCGGUAAUAC
rnacentral:rRNA from 1 species